GACGAACGCUGGCGGCGUGCUUAACACAUGCAAGUCGAACGGAAAGGCCUGCUUUCCCUUGUGGAUUGCGGGUACUCGAGUGGCGAACGGGUGAGUAACACGUGAGUGAUCUGCCCCCAACUUGGGUAUAAGCCUGGGAAACUGGGUCUAAUUCCCGAUAGGACUGCAGGGUGGUGCCUGUGGUGGAAAACGAUUUUCUAGUGGUUGGGGAUGAGCUCGCGGCCUAUCAGCUUGUUGGUGGGGUAAUGGCCUACCAAGGCGGCGACGGGUAGCCGGCCUGAGAGGGUGGACGGCCGAAUUGGGACUGGGAUACGGCCCAGACGCCUACGGGAGGCAGGAAUGGGGACGAUUGGACCAUGGGCGGGAGCCUGCUGCAGCGACGGAGUGUUGAGGAUGACCGCCUUCGGGUUGUAAGUUCCUUGCGACCGCGAGAAGGCCACCUAGCUGGGCGGGUGGUGACGGUAGUGGUAGAAGAAGCACCGGCUAACUACGUG
rnacentral:rRNA from 1 species